UACGAAGGGGGCUAGCGUUGUUCGGAAUUACUGGGCGUAAAGCGCACGUAGGCGGAUUUGUAAGUCAGGGGUGAAAUCCCGGGGCUCAACCUCGGAACUGCCUUUGAUACUGCAAGUCUCGAGUCCGAUAGAGGUGAGUGGAAUUCCUAAUGUAGAGGUGAAAUUCGUAGAUAUUAGGAAGAACACCAGUGGCGAAGGCGGCUCACUGGAUCGGUACUGACGCUGAGGUGCGAAAAGCGUGGGGAGCAAACAGG
rnacentral:rRNA from 1 species